CGGUGUGUAGCUCAGCUUGGUAGAGCACUUGGUUUGGGACCAAGGGGUCGCAGGUUCAAAUCCUGCCGCACCGACCA
rnacentral:tRNA from 1 species